rnacentral:rRNA from 1 species
GUCCCAGACUCCUACGGGAGGCAGCAGUGAGGAAUAUUGGUCAAUGGGCGCGAGCCUGAACCAGCCAAGUCGCGUGAGGGAUGACGGCCCUACGGGUUGUAAACCUCUUUUGUCGGGGAGCAAAUUCCGUUACGUGUAACGGAGUCGAGAGUACCCGAAGAAAAAGCAUCGGCUAACUCCGUGCCAGCAGCCGCGGUAAUACGGAGGAUGCGAGCGUUAUCCGGAUUUAUUGGGUUUAAAGGGUGCGUAGGCGGAAUGCCAAGUCAGCGGUAAAAUCGCGGGGCUCAACCUCGCUCCGCCGUUGAAACUGGCGUUCUUGAGUGGGCGAGAAGUAUGCGGAAUGCGUGGUGUAGCGGUGAAAUGCAUAGAUAUCACGCAGAACUCCGAUUGCGAAGGCAGCAUGCCGGCUCCACACUGACGCUGAGGCACGAAAGCGUGGGUAUCGAACAGGAUUAGAUACCCUAGUACC